UGGCUCAGUGGUUAAGAGCACUGAAUGUUCCAGAGGUCCUGGGUUCAAUUCCCAG
rnacentral:tRNA from 1 species